UUCCCUGACAUCAUAGCAUGAGAAACAUCAAGUUCAGGCAAUAAUGGCAGUGAAACUCCUCCACCAGUGAGGUUUCCACAGACAAGAUCCAAUAUUAAACCCAUUUAGAGUUUAUUACAUCCAUCUAGGUGAAAAUCCUUCUAUGACCAUUGUACCUCCAUUAGUCAUCAAUGGAUCUUUGCCAUGCCUCAUGUGUUCAAUUCAACAACCUUUGAUGUUUGGGAGGGUUGCAACAAAUUAGUGUUCUCUUGGAUUCUCAAUUUAGUUGAACCCACUACUUCACAAACAUAAUCUACAUCGAAGUUGUUCUUACAGCAUUGAAAUUGUCGAGUAAUUGUUUUUUCACAGGCAAAUUGAGUUAGAGUGCUAAGUUACAGGAGGAAUUGAUGUCCUUAAGACAAGGUGCAAAUUCUGUUACUCAUUACUUUAUAGAAAUGACGGUAUGAAAUUAGAUAAUUUCAGGUCUCUUCCAGUUUGUGUAUGUUUUGCGAAGUGUAUCUGUGUAGCUAGCACCACAGAAAACAUUUUCAUAAAGAAAAUAGCAUUAUGGAACUCCUUGGUACGUAUUUGCUUUUGUACAAAUUAAGUAGAAUUGAGUUUCUAACGCAAAAUUAAUGUGUUUGGUUUCCAAAAUCAUUAAAAAGAUAAAAAAUUCAUGUUGAAUGAGAAACAAUUAAUUAUUAUUUCAGUAAAAAAUCAAUUUAACUGGAAUCAAUUCUCUAACGCUCAACCAAACAUAUCCUAAGUCAUGAAUUUGAUGUUAUUAGAACUCAAAUUUUAAUGAUGGUACCUUUGCUGAUGUCAACAAGGUUCACUUGUUGAAGAGAUUUUGUACUCUCAUUGUUGGUGUCCAAAACACCAUAUUAAGUCCUUUAUGGUGAAGUUAAUGAUAUUAAACACCUAAGGGUUUUUUUGGUGCUUGUGCUAUUGUUUUACUAUUUCUUCUAAUAGAGGUAAAUUUGAUACUCAAGCCCAUAAGUGUGACUCUAUUGAAUACAAAUUAGGUACAAUAGGUUAUUUAGUAUACAAUUUGAUUACAAACUAGUUGCAAGUAUGUAGAAGUAUUAAUAUUAAAGAACUUGUCUCUCCUUACCUAUUAAAGGUAACAAAGUCUGUCUACACACAACCUUUCUUCACCACCUACUAUCUUUGAAACUUCCUCUUCUUUCCAACCAAGUAAUGAGCAGACUUCCCACAUUUUAGAAAUAUAAUUUUCUUAUGUUUUAUAUUAUACAAUUUAAAAAAUAAUUUUCAUCUGAUUUUAAUACAAAUUGUAUAUUCCAAAAUAUAAAAAAAUGUAUCGUAGAUUUUACAUUCCAAAAUACAAAAUUUUAUGGAGGUGCAGGAAGAAAUCGCCACAAAUUUAUAAAUGAGAAUGCAUUAUGAAAUUCCUUUGCGGGCGUGGGCUAAAUGGUGCAUUUGAUGUUCUUAGAACUCAAAUUUUAAUGAUGAGGCCAUUUCCUGAUGUCAGUAAGGUUUUUUUCUUCUUCUUAGUACUACAAGAUGAAAGGAGGAUUGGUAGUUCAAACAAUGAUGAAGGCCAAGUGUUCAUUAAUGCUAUAGAAAGUAGGAAGCAAUUUUGUAGAGACAAAGGAUUUGGUUUUUUUAGAGAAGGAAAAGUCAAAAUUUGUAGUUUUUAUGAGAGAAUUGGACACUUAGUUGACUGUGCUAUGAGAAGUAUGAUUAUCCAAGCAAUUUGAAAAGGAAUAGUUAUAACAAAAUGCAAAAGUUAAUCCAUGACUCGCCGAACUUUAAUUUUUUCCUUGAUCAGGGCCUAGGUAAUUUAAAUGCUCCCUUUGCAGUGUCACUUCGUCCAUGUUACAUGUAACGGGCUUAGGCCCAUUAUAUUGUAUUUUUUAUUUAUAAAUAUAUAAUCUUAUGCGCUUUACACACAUUAGGAAUUCAACUUAUGCUUCUCUCUUUUAUUUUAGCAUAAUAUUUAGAGUUAAGUGGAGUUAAGUUUAAUCUAUGUCCCCGAAGACAAGUGGAUUCACCUAUACUAAAUUUUUAGUUUUUUUUUUUUUUAAAUUUCUAGCAUUAUUCUUAGUUUGUUUUUUCUCCAACCAUUGUUUUCGCCAUCACUAUGCUACCACCUGAUACAGGCAACUGCACAAAUCUGAGGUUGAAUCACAAACAAACUAGCAGGUAAUUUCCACAACAAUUUCAAAUAUUUUGUCAAAAUCUCAUUCGUCAUUCACAGGUAUAAAACAAUUACCAAUCAUACUCGUAACAAAUGUUGAAGAUAGAGAGAUAGAUUGCAUAAAAGCUCCACAUAACAUAAUCUUAAAACGGUUCUUUUAAGGUCUUGGACUUCCCAUAAAACCAUGAACACACAAAAAAGUACAAACAUAGAAAGCGAACUAAAAAGAAAUGAGUAUAACUUCUCCUAAUAGCACACUUCCAAUACUAGUUCUAAGCCAUCAGCAUAAUAAAACAUAAUAAAUAUACUACCAUGACAUAAUUAAACAAGCCGAAGAAUUAAUUGUUAAAACCUUUCAAUCUACCAUAAUUUCAUGGAAGAUUGAGAGGACUUGACGAUGAAGGAUAUUUUUAUCAUCCACUGCUUGCUCAGUCAUUUUAUUUAUUUAAUCUUUUUUCCAUUUUUAGCAUCAGGUGAUUGUGUUUCAUUAUCACCUUUCUUUCUCUUUCUUGUGCUUGUUACUUCUGGAUGUGGUCUCUCAUUGUUGGUGUCCUCAAGCUCACCAACAUUAGAUCCUUUAGGUAGACCGUUCACGAUUUGAGUAAUGUCUCUUGAACUUAAUGCAUGAUUUCACUUGUUAAGGAUUCAAGGAAUUGAAACUUAAUGAAUUAUCGUACGCUCAAAGUUAUUAGGGGUAAAAUUUGAUUAUAUUUGUGUGUUUGAAUAUGGAAUUGAUAUGAUUCAAUAUGCAUGAGAUUGAAGUUGACGAAGUCCAGUCUUUGCAAUUGUAAAUACUCUAUGUUAAAUUUCUGUUGUACACUAACUUUUUGAUAAAAAUACCAAAAAGAGUUUUGUGUGUUUUUUUGAAUGGAUUGUCUAAUUGAGUUAUUGAAUGUAAGAGUUGUCAUGUGUUGCACAAGGAUUGAAUAUUGUGUUUAGUUUGGAAUAUUGUGUCUAUGUUUUGUAGUGCAAGUAACCAAUGUGAGAUUGUAUGUUUGCCCCGCACUGCUCCAAAUCUUAAUGCAAGUUUUGAGCAAAUUUAUGUUAAGGGAUUGAGUAGGCAAUUUAAGACUUAGAUAGGCACUAUAAGAGAAAUUUGUGUGUGUUGGCCUUAGAUAAUAUGGAAAGUAAUAUUCAUUAUAAAUAGAGUACUAAGUAAUCUUACAAAAAGAUGAAUCCGAGUGAAGUUGAUUGGGAAAUCUGUUUUAAUACAUUAUACAUAUUUGAAGUGUAUGAUUGUUGUUUUGGUUGGUGUGUUUAUGUUUAUGUCUUUCAUUCUUCAAUUCUCUUUAUUGUUUAUGUUUUGAAUUCUCUUUGUUCUGGUUUGUUAUGUUUAUGUUUUUCAAUUCUUUGUUUUCAUACCAUUGAUUAUAUAAAUUUCAUUGUGCUAACUUGUUUGUUCAAAUAUAUUUUGUACUCUUGUGGGUGAAAUGUAUUGAUGAGAAUGAAGAAAAAGACACAAGGAGGCAAUGGUAUUGGUUCAACAGGAUUAGAGUUCCAGAAGGAUAAUUGACAUUAGAUGUGCAUGUUGGUUUGCUCAUGAAUUCUUCCUCUCUCAUUCAUUAGAUAUUGAGUCAUCCUAGCCUUGCCAAGAUGCCCAACUUGUUCUAAGUUUGUUUAAGUUAUCAAAUUUUCAUUGUGAGUCAUGUCAAUUAAGAAAACAUAGUAGUAAUUUGUUUAGUAAAGUGUUACAUAAUGUGUUUCGUCUCCUUUUACCUUAGUUCAUUAUGACAUUUGGAGACAAAGUCGUGUUAAGCUAAAUUUAUGAUUUCAGUAUUUUGUCAUUUUUAUUGGUUGUUA